GACGAACGCUGGCGGCGUGCUUAACACAUGCAAGUCGAACGGUGAAAGCGGAGCUUGCUCCGCUGGAUCAGUGGCGAACGGGUGAGUAACACGUGGGCAACCUGCCCCUCACUUCGGGAUAACUCCGGGAAACCGGGGCUAAUACCGGAUAUGACCUCCUUGGGCAUCCUUGGAGGUGGAAAGUUUUUCGGUGAGGGAUGGGCCCGCGGGCUAUCAGCUUGUUUGUGGGGUAGUGGCUCACCAAGGCGACGACGGGUAGCCGGCCUGAGAGGGCGACCGGCCACCAUGGGACUGAGACACGGCCCAGACUCCUACGGGGGGCAGCAGUGGGGAAUAUUACGCAAUGGGCGAAAGCCUGACGCAGAAACGCCGCGUGCGGGAUGGCGGCCUUCGGGUUGUAAACCGCUUUCAGCAGGGAAGAGGCCGUAAGGUGACGGUACCUGCAGAAGAAGCACCGGCUAACUACGUGCCAGCCGCCGCUGUAA
rnacentral:rRNA from 1 species